UGCCAUGAUGGAUGCAGAUGCAGUUGCC
rnacentral:piRNA from 1 species